UACGUAGGGGGCGAGCGUUGUUCGGAAUUACUGGGCGUAAAGGGCGCGUAGGCGGCCUCUUAAGUCGAACGUGAAAUCCCCGGGCUCAACCCGGGAACUGCGUCCGAUACUGGGAGGCUUGAAUCCGGGAGAGGGAUGUGGAAUUCCAGGUGUAGCGGUGAAAUGCGUAGAUAUCUGGAGGAACACCGGUGGCGAAGGCGGCAUCCUGGACCGGUAUUGACGCUGAGGCGCGAAAGCUAGGGGAGCAAACGGG
rnacentral:rRNA from 1 species